rnacentral:misc_RNA from 1 species
UCUCCGUUGGUGAACCAGCGGAGGGAUCAUUACAGGACUCGCAAGACUCCUACAACCCUGUGAACUUAACUAUAAGCACGUUGCUUCGGCGGGUGUCUCGGAGGGGGUUCUCCCUCCCCGAGACGCUAAACCCGCCGGCAGCCUGCUAUACUCCGUCUCUUUGCGUUGGCAUCUCGAGUACAAUCAAACAAGUUAAAACUUUCAACAACGGAUCUCUUGGUUCUG